ACCAACUGUAGGCAGCAGGCAAUUAGGUGCAACGUGUUUACGCGUGUUUUGAGUGACGCGCGUCGUGUAACAGGCAACCUGAUCUGGGGUUAGACCGUCGUGAGACAGAGCUGAACCCGCUCUACCCUUUGUUGACGUCCCAACCCUCCUGCCGGUUGAGAAGUAGAUCAUAAAGUCAUCGCAGGGAGUGCUUACAUCCAUGUGUCGCCUCCACUGUGCCAUGCCUUUCCUUGAAACUGCAUGCCGACAUUCUGCCUCCUACUUACUGCUGCCUACUCUAUGAACUAAGGAUUCCCAAGCAUGCAGAAAUUGUUCCAGGAGGUCGUGGGGGUAACCUCCCACACUUUGAUCGGGAGUCCCAAAGGCAUCCAAAGAGGGCAGAAAAUACCACUUUUUAGAGGAGUUGAUUUUUGACCAUAGUGGUAAGGAGGUAGUUCUUUUUUUUCACAUAUUGCGCUUUUCUACUCUGGGAGGUGGUGGAAACCACACCUUUUUUUCGGGGGUCCCGAAACCAUCCAAAAUGGCAGAAACACUUCGUACACUUAGGCCUGAUUGUCCACCAUAAAGGAGAGAAAUGUUAGGACAAUUUCGCGAUUUUGGGUUUAAAUAUUUUUUUCCAAUGUAGUCAUGAAACGAUCAGAAACAAUUUUCGUUUUUACAUUGGAUGGUACUAUUCGGGCUCCAUUGUCCUUGUCCAUACAAUAUAGUCAACUUUUAUGCUUGCUACUUGUAAAAUAAUCAAAGAAUCAGCUCUUAAAAUAUAACAACUUCAAUUGUUUGGAUGUAAACUCAAGAAUAUAAAGGACUUUUUAAUUAUGUUCAAAUUACCCCCACCAAAUGAGCAAUGUUUCAGUGUUUACACUCAUUUAGUCCGUUACUUGGACUUUUAGUUGCCUCUCUGGCCUUGAGUUGUUAGAACUUUCAUCAUUAAACAAGACACAAUUUAAAGGCAAAGAGUUAUAACAAUUAGCGCAGGAACAGAAGAUGAUUGUUGAAGAAUCUGGGGAACACUGGAACCCAAGACGGAAAUCUGAGCUUUUUGGAGGGGUGAAAAAUAGCACUCUGACCCAAUUUCCAUCCCCUCAACCCCUGUUUUUCUACUGUAAUUUACUCUAGCACAAAUGGGAAUAGGUGUUGCAUAAACCAAUAACCCCCGUCGUGGUGUCAGUGACAUUUUCAAAACGAUUUCUGAGGAAUUGAAUUUCAGUCCUCUGAGCAGCAAAUGAGAAGAGGAUUUAUGGAGUUGUGCAUGGGAAGAGGGGUAGCAGGA